AUGUAUGACAUUUAGAAUAGAAUAGAAUGCCCUUUAUUGUCAUUUUACAACUUAGUUGUACAACGAAAUUCGGAUAGCUGCUCCCUUCUUAGUGCAAACAUUACAAAAUUUAAAAAAAGCAUAAAAGGAAAUAUGAGAAUAAAAGUGAAAGAUCUUAUUUACAGUAUAGCUAUUAGUCUAAGAAUGAAGGUUAAAAAAAAAAUCUUAUUUACAGUAUGUUCAAUGUGGGUAUAU